rnacentral:rRNA from 1 species
AGAGUUUGAUCAUGGCUCAGGAUGAACGCUAGCGGCGGGCCUAAUACAUGCAAGUCGAGGGGCAGCACGAGUAGCAAUACUUGGUGGCGACCGGCGCACGGGUGCGUAACGCGUAUGCAACCUACCCAUAACACGGGAAUAGCCCGAAGAAAUUCGGAUUAAUACUCGAUAGUAUCACUUGAAGGCAUCUGAAGGUGAUUAAAGAUUUAUCGGUUAUGGAUGGGCAUGCGUCUGAUUAGCUAGUUGGUGAGGUAACUGCUCACCAAGGCUACGAUCAGUAGGGGUUCUGAGAGGAUGAUCCCCACACCGGUACUGAGACACGGACCGGACUCCUACGGGAGGCAGCAGUAAGGAAUAUUGGUCAAUGGACGCAAGUCUGAACCAGCCACGCCGCGUGCAGGAAGACGGCCCUAUGGGUUGUAAACUGCUUUUGUUUGGGAAGAAACCCCUUUUGCGAAAGGGACUGACGGUACCAGACGAAUAAGCACCGGCUAACUCCGUGCCAGCAGCCGCGGUAAUACGGAGGGUGCAAGCGUUAUCCGGAUUUAUUGGGUUUAAAGGGUGCGUAGGCGGCCUGUUAAGUCAGAGGUGAAAGUCGGUAGCUCAACUAUCGAAUUGCCUUUGAUACUGGCAGGCUUGAAUGAAGUUGAAGAGGGCGGAAUGUGACAUGUAGCGGUGAAAUGCUUAGAUAUGUCCCAGAACACCGAUUGCGAAGGCAGCUCUCUAAGCUUGUAUUGACGCUGAUGCACGAAAGCGUGGGGAUCAAACAGGAUUAGAUACCCUGGUAGUCCACGCCGUAAACGAUGAUCACUCGCUGUUGGCGAUACACAGUCAGCGGCCAAGCGAAAGCGAUAAGUGAUCCACCUGGGGAGUACGAUCGCAAGGUUGAAACUCAAAUGAAUUGACGG